rnacentral:rRNA from 1 species
UUGGUGGCGACCGGCGCACGGGUGAGUAACGCGUAUGCAACCUCCCUCUUAGAGGGGAAUAACCCGGCGAAAGUCGGACUAAUACCCUAUAAAACAGGGACACCGCAUGGUGAUAUUUGUUAAAGAAAUUCGCUGAUAGAUGGGCAUGCGUUCCAUUAGGUAGUUGGUGAGGUAACGGCUCACCAAGCCGACGAUGGAUAGGGGAACUGAGAGGUUGGUCCCCCACACUGGUACUGAGACACGGACCAGACUCCUACGGGAGGCAGCAGUGAGGAAUAUUGGUCAAUGGGCGAGAGCCUGAACCAGCCAAGUCGCGUGAAGGAAGAAGGAUCUAUGGUUCGUAAACUUCUUUUGCAGGGGAAUAAAGUGCAGGACGUGUCCUGCUUUGUAUGUACCCUGAGAAUAAGGAUCGGCUAACUCCGUGCCAGCAGCCGCGGUAAUACGGAGGAUCCGAGCGUUAUCCGGAUUUAUUGGGUUUAAAGGGUGCGUAGGUGGUUUGAUAAGUCAGCGGUGAAAGUUUGCAGCUUAACUGUAAAAAUGCCGUUGAAACUGUCGGACUUGAGUGUAAAUGAGGUAGGCGGAAUGCGUGGUGUAGCGGUGAAAUGCUUAGAUAUCACGAAGAACUCCGAUUG